rnacentral:rRNA from 1 species
AUUGAACGCUGGCGGCAGGCCUAACACAUGCAAGUCGAACGAGUGGCGGACGGGUGAGUAAUGUCUGGGAAACUGCCCGAUGGAGGGGGAUAACUACUGGAAACGGUAGCUAAUACCGCAUACCAUCGGAUGUGCCCAGAUGGGAUUAGCUAGUAUGUGGGGUAACGGCUCACCUAGGCGACGAUCCCUAGCUGGUCUGAGAGGAUGACCAGCCACACUGGAACUGAGCCAAGGUCCAGACUCCUAGGGGAGGUAGCAGUGGGGAAUAUUGCACAAGGGGCGGAAGCCUGAUGCAGCCAUGCCGCGUGUAUGAAGAAGGCCUGCGGGUUGUAAAGUACUGUCAGCGAGGAGGCGUUACUCGCAGAAGAAGCACCGGCUAACUCCGUGCCAGCAGCCGCGGUAAUAC